rnacentral:rRNA from 1 species
UACAGAGGGUGCAAGCGUUAAUCGGAAUUACUUGGCGUAAAGCGCGCGUAGGUGGUUUGUUAAGUUGGAUGUGAAAGCCCCGGGCUCAACCUGGGAACUGCAUUCAAAACUGACAAGCUAGAGUAUGGUAGAGGGUGGUGGAAUUUCCUGUGUAGCGGUGAAAUGCGUAGAUAUAGGAAGGAACACCAGUGGCGAAGGCGACCACCUGGACUGAUACUGACACUGAGGUGCGAAAGCGUGGGGAGCAAACAGG